AUGGAGAGUAACGCGUGGAUGGAGAGUAACGCGUGGCUGGAGGAACAAAUGAAAAAUGGAUAAGAUAGUACAACAAAAGGAUGAUCAAAUUAUGAAGCUGCAGGCCCAAUUAUUGGAACAACACAAAAUAUUAGAUAACAGCAAAGCUAAGGAUGAUAAGGCCUAAUACGUAAUGAUUCUAUUUAUUUGCUUUUAUUCAUUUUUGUUUUGUAGCUCAAAUUUUGAGUCUACAAGCUCAGCUAGGGGAAAAGAACAAAUUGGAAUGGAACAGUUUCCAAACAGUGAGGGAGGUUUUUCCAAACUCAUCCCUAACUGAACAUGAGGAUGAAUUGGCAUUAGGCGAAUACAGUCAGUUAUUCAGUCUACCACCUGACAGUGUGUUAAAGUUAAAUUCUGUUAGUGCUGCACUAAAAGAAUUGUUAGUAAUAAGUCCAUGCAGUGAAGGAAGUGAACAAUUGUGGGACCGUAUUUGGGCUGAAAAUGGGUGUGGUACGGAAACCCAGAAAUAGCACGAGUUCAACAUAAAACAUGAAUUAGAAUUUUAGCGGGGAUCAAGUCAAGUCUGGAAGUGUUACAGGAUGGAAGAGUGAGCCUACAGUUGAAAAACACUGAAAGUGCAUUACCAUUAAGGUAUGAGCUGCUUCUCUUGCUAAAGAACAACUUGUCCUUUACGUUCAGAGUGUUGGUGAAGCUGGGUACUUAAAUGGCCCUAAAGAUGUUUCAUUUCAUUGGCAUUGCAGCGAUGAACAUCAUAC